CUGUUACUAUGGUAAUUGUCGGAUAAAACAGGACUUGUCAAAUAAUAUCCUUUCAUGAAACGCUCCCCAGAAGUUGGAGGCACGCAACACGGGCACCGGCGCCGCACCGCCACCGGUGACGGUCUGUGUGAUAAUGUGAAAGUAGCAUUAGGGUGUCUGAAGAAAAAAACAUGAUUUUGACAGAUGUUCAAUUUUUUUCUGGAAUUAGAAACUAAUCACCUUCAAAAUAUGGGGUUCCCGAACUUCGGACACUUUUCAGCUCUCAUCAGAUUGCUGUGUAACACUCACUAACACUACACUAGUAACAGUCUACGACCUAGAUCUCACUGUAGUGUAAGAAAACUUACAUUUUUGUCAGAUUUUGUCACUUUAAAGUUUUAUGAUUGUGCCGAGUGAUGCAAACAAUUUGAUAUUGUUCCUCAUCUAGAUGCCCGGCAGAAGGGCGCUAGCAGGGAAUUUCGUCCAAAUUUUCACUUUUCAUUUUUUUUCAUAAAUCGAUAGGGUUUGGAAAGAUCAACAUUUUUAAAAAAUAUCCUGGCUUUGGGAAAUGUUUAUUUUUAAAGUUAUGGUCAAUAAUCAAAGGGCACUAGCAGAUGGAAGACAAAAUCACUUCCCGGCAGAAGGGCGCAGUGCGAUCGUGCGCAUGCGCACACGUUACAGCCUUUAUACGAUAACCGGCUUUGCUAAAAUUCAGCCCGGCAGAAAGGCGCUAAUUCCGAACGGGAGAAGGAGAGCGUCCGUAACAGUCAUGGAGCCAGACACACUGCUGCUGAUUAGAUGGUUUAGGAACCAAUCAGAGAACGUGGUUGAAUAUAAAGACAUUAUAUGUCCUCAUCAUCGCCAUCCGAGGGUCGGAGAUGCAGUCGUCAUGCCAUGGGGGAGGGAGAGAUGGCACGGCAAGGUGCUACAAAUUUCGAGAGGACUCGGAUGAAGAUGAUGACGAUAUUCCUUUGAAAUUCCUAAGAGGUGAGAAAAUCAUUUUCUUUAUGACCCAGCAUUAUGCAGACCAGUAUUUGUUUGGUCAGGUCAAGAUGAUUAUUAUAAAUUUAUUUAAUUUACUGAACCAUUAAUACUGUAGCUAUUGAAGAUAGAUGUAGUGUUGUUUUGUUGGAGGUGCUACUUCUUCAAUGAUUUUCAAACUUGCAUGCAUGAAAACAACACUCUAAACUGUAUUUGUAUCAAACUGUUAACAUUUGGGGGGCUAGAUGACCCUCUGUAUUUUUUUUAAUUGUGAUAUGCUGGAUAGUCUUGGUAUUUAAAUGUACCCCCCCCCCCUUCUCUCCAUGCAUGCUGCAUACCAUUUAUCAGAUUACUACAUACAAUCAUUCUGUUUUUUUCUCCAUUUCUGACAGAAAAGGGAGAGAGAGCUGCAGCUGUCAUAGAGGGAAAUAUUACAGAAGAUAAAGGAAAGAGAGCUGACCUUGGAGGAGCUGUCACAGAAGAUGAAUGUAUCAGCAUUCUUGGAGAGGUGCUUAGAGGCAGGCAGGAGCAUCAUGUAGAAAUUUGUGAGCACUUUGGGUGUGCAGACGAGG